CCCUAGCCCUGAUAGAAGUGGAAAUCCUUUUUCUGGCUUCUUUAGCCAGGAAAAGAUUGAAACGUCCCGAGGCUUCGGGAGCAGGAAAUAGC
rnacentral:sRNA from 1 species